rnacentral:rRNA from 1 species
AUGCAAGUCGAACGCUUUUGGGGGUUCGCCCUCAAGGGAGUGGCGCACGGGUGAGUAGCGCGUGGGAACCUGCCCAGUCGUGGGGGAUAACCGCGGGAAACUGCGGCUAAUACCGCAUACGCGGGCUGGUCUAGAGAUAGAUUGGCCGGGAAAGAUUUAUCGCGAUUGGAGGGGCCCGCGUCGGAUUAGCUUGUUGGUGGGGUAACGGCCUACCAAGGCAGUGAUCCGUAGCUGGUCUGAGAGGAUGAUCAGCCACACUGGGACUGAGACACGGCCCAGACUCCUACGGGAGGCAGCAGUGGGGAAUAUUGGACAAUGGGCGAAAGCCUGAUCCAGCAAUGCCGCGUGAGUGAGGAAGGCCUUAGGGUUGUAAAGCUCUUUCGCGCGCGACGAUGAUGACGGUAGCGCGAGAAGAAGUCCCGGCUAACUUCGUGCCAGCAGCCGCGGUAAUACGAAGGGGGCGAGCGUUGUUCGGA